rnacentral:lncRNA from 1 species
AGCCAUAUAAUUGAUGAGCACCCUCGCAUAUCAGACGACCUUAGUGAAUCAGCUAUUGCAGUGCAUCGAGAUGCAACAUGCCCUAGACAAGGUGUCAUGAAGUAGGACAAGGGUAGACAAAAAACCUCUUAAGUAGUGUCCGGGCAAACAGCCAAUUGACCAACCACAAACCGAGCGUUCGAGCAGUGUACAUUCUUGAUUGGGCCCCUGAGAUAGCGUAUAUUCCCGUCUUAGUACACGGAUGAGAGUGCACUCUCGGUUAAGGCUACGAACGAUCAUACACUCACGGUUGAGGUCACACUUCGAUAAUUAACAAACCUUCCAGGCGAAGUGUUUAUUCACGGUUAGGCCCACAAGGAGCAUCAUCCACCUUACAUUAGAGUAGGCAGCAC